AUGCCGCGUGUGUGAAGAAGGCCUUUUGGUUGUAAAGCACUUUAAGCGAGGAGGAGGCUCCCAGUAUUAAUACUACUGGAGAGUGGACGUUACUCGCAGAAUAAGCACCGGCUAACUCUGUGCCAGCAGCCGCGGUAAUACAGAGGGUGCAAGCGUUAAUCGGAUUUACUGGGCGUAAAGCGUGCGUAGGUGGCCAAUUAAGUCAAAUGUGAAAUCCCCGAGCUUAACUUGGGAAUUGCAUUCGAUACUGGUUGGCUAGAGUAUGGGAGAGGAUGGUAGAAUUCCAGGUGUAGCGGUGAAAUGCGUAGAGAUCUGGAGGAAUACCGAUGGCGAAGGCAGCCAUCUGGCCUAAUACUGACACUGAGGUACGAAAGCAUGGGGAGCAAACAGGAUUAGAUAC
rnacentral:rRNA from 17 species